AACGUAGGAGACAACCGUUAUCCGGAUUUACUGGGCGUAAAGGGCGUGUAGGUGGUUUCGUAAGUCUGGCGUGAAAUUUCUCGGCUUAACCGAGGCAGGUCGUCGGAUACUGCGGAACUAGAGGACGGUAGAGGCGUGUGGAAUUCCGGGUGUAGUGGUGAAAUGCGUAGAGAUCCGGAGGAACACCAGUGGCGAAGGCGACACGCUGGGCCGUACCUGACACUGAGGCGCGAUAGCAUGGGGAGCAAACAGG
rnacentral:rRNA from 1 species